rnacentral:rRNA from 1 species
ACAUCCAGCGAACUUGGCAGAGAUGCCUUGGUGCCUUCGGGAACGCUGAGACAGGUGCUGCAUGGCUGUCGCCAGCUCGUGUUGUGAAAUGUUGGGUUAAGUCCCGNAACGAGCGCAACCCUUAUCCUUUGUUGCCAGCGAUUCGGUCGGGAACUCAAAGGAGACUGCCGGUGAUAAACCGGAGGAAGGUGGGGAUGACGUCAAGUCAUCAUGGCCCUUACGAGUAGGGCUACACACGUGCUACAAUGGCGCAUACAAAGAGAAGCGACCUCGCGAGAGCAAGCGGACCUCAUAAAGUGCGUCGUAGUCCGGAUCGGAGUCUGCAACUCGACUCCGUGAAGUCGGAAUCGCUAGUAAUCGUGGAUCAGAAUGCCACGGUGAAUACGUUCCCGGGCCUUGUACACACCGCCCGUCACACCAUGGGAGUGGGUUGCAAAAGAAGUAGGUAGCUUAACCUUCGGGAGGGCGCUUACCACUUUGUGAUUCAUGACUGGGGUGAAGUCGUAACAAGGUAGGCGUAGCGAG